GAAUUCACUAGUGAUUCAGGCCUAACACAUGCAAGUCGAGCGGUAGAGAGAAGCUUGCUUCUCUUGAGAGAAACGGACGGGUGAGUAAUGCCUAGGAAUCUGCGUGGUAGUGGGGGAUAACGUUCGGAAACGGACGCUAAUACCGCAUACGUCCUACGGGAGAAAGCAGGGG
rnacentral:rRNA from 1 species